AGAGAGAGACAUGCGCGCAUAUCAAUAAGCGGAGGAAAAGAAACUAACUAGGAUUCCCUCAGUAACGGCGAGUGAAGCGGGAAGAGCUCAAAUUUGAAAUCUUCAAGGUUCUACCUUGACGAAUUGUAGUUUAAAGAAGUGUUUUCUGUUGGAGUUUUGGUAAAAGUUCUUUGGAAUAGGACAUCAUAGAGGGUGAGAAUCCCGUAUUUGACCAUUAUUUCAGCUUUGUGAUACACUUUCAAAGAGUCGGAUUGUUUGGGAAUGCAGUCCAAAAUGGGUGGUAAAUUUCAUCUAAAGCUAAAUACUGGCGAGAGACCGAUAGCGAACAAGUACCGUGAGGGAAAGAUGAAAAGAACUUUGAAAAGAGAGUUAAACAGUACGUGAAAUUGUCAAAAGGGAAGCGUUUGACACCAGUGUUGUUUUCUCGAAAAUCAAUUAAAAAAGGCAGGAUUUUGUGUUGUAUUGACUUUAUCAGCUUUCUGCACUCUUUUCUUGUCUUUUUUAAUGCACUUUUCGUUUAACAAGUCAACAUCAAUUUCUUUUGUUGUAAAAGGGUCAUUGGAAGGUGGCUUUCUUUUCGGAGAAAGUGUUUAUAGCCUUUGGCCUCUGCAAUCGGAGAGAUUGAGGUCUGCAGCGUAGAUCCUUCGGGGUUAGAUACAUUUGUGCUAAGUUAUAGCCUUUCAUAGACAACUUGUUGACUAUGAUCAGUCAUGUAGCUUACUCGCUUAUGCUAUUUUACCUACGCUUAGGAUGUUGAUGUGAUACUGCGAGC
rnacentral:rRNA from 1 species